rnacentral:rRNA from 1 species
GAUGAGCGCUAGCGGGAGGCCUAACACAUGCAAGUCGAACGGGAUUGAGAGCUUGCUCUCAUGAGAGUGGCGCACGGGUGAGUAACGCGUAUGCAACCUGCCUUUAACAGAGGGAUAGCCCAUAGAAAUGUGGAUUAAUACCUCAUAGUUCUGAGAGAUCGCAUGAUUUUUCAGAUAAAGCUCCGGCGGUUAAAGAUGGGCAUGCGUGACAUUAGCUAGUUGGUGAGGUAACGGCUCACCAAGGCGACGAUGUCUAGGGGUUCUGAGAGGAUGAUCCCCCACACUGGUACUGAGACACGGACCAGACUCCUACGGGAGGCAGCAGUGAGGAAUAUUGGUCAAUGGGCGCAAGCUUGAACCAGCCAUCCCGCGUGCAGGAUGACGGCCCUAUGGGUUGUAAACUGCUUUUAUACACCAAGAAAAAUCCGAACGUGUUCGGACCCGACGGUAGUGUAUGAAUAAGCAUCGGCUAACUCCGUGCCAGCAGCCGCCGUAAAAC